ACGACAGAUCGCGGGGGCCCGGCGAACCGGGCUGAGAUAGCGGCUGGGACGGCCGCUGACCGCAUGAACCUGACCGGGUAAUGCCGGCGUAGGGAGAGAUCGAGUCGUCAUGAC
rnacentral:ncRNA from 1 species